AUUGAACGCUGGCGGCAGGCUUAACACAUGCAAGUCGAGCGGGGGAAGGUAGCUUGCUACCGGACCUAGCGGCGGACGGGUGAGUAAUGCUUAGGAAUCUGCCUAUUAGUGGGGGACAACAUCUCGAAAGGGAUGCUAAUACCGCAUACGUCCUACGGGAGAAAGCAGGGGAUCGUCGGACCUUGCGCUAAUAGAUGAGCCUAAGUCGGAUUAGCUAGUUGGUGGGGUAAAGGCCUACCAAGGCGACGAUCGGUAGCGGGUCUGAGAGGAUGGUCCGCCACACUGGGACUGAGACACGGCCAGACUCCUACGGGAGGCAGCAGUGGGGAAUAUUGGACAAUGGGGGGAACCCUGAUCCAGCCAUGCCGCGUGUGUGAAGAAGGCCUUAUGGUUGUAAAGCACUUUAAGCGAGGAGGAGGCUACUUUAGUUAAUACCUAGAGAUAGUGGACGUUACUCGCAGAAUAAGCACCGGCUAACUCUGUGCCAGCCGCCGCAGUAA
rnacentral:rRNA from 1 species